UACAGAGGUCCCAAGCGUUGUUCGGAUUCACUGGGCGUAAAGGGUGCGCAGGUGGUCGGGUAAGUCUGACGUGAAAUCCCGCAGCUUAACUGCGGAAUGGCAUUGGAUACUAUUCGGCUAGAGGGUUGGAGGGGGGACUGGAAUUCUCGGUGUAGCAGUGAAAUGCGUAGAUAUUGGGAGGAACACCAGUGGCGAAGGCGACUGCCUGGACGACACCUGACGCUGAGGCGCGAAAGCUAGGGGAGCAAACGGG
rnacentral:rRNA from 1 species